GAUUCCAUCUUAGAAAAUCCAGACCGGUCGAUGGUGCUCCUGCGGAUCCCACCUUCAUUCACUUUCAUUGUGCGUCCGGGUUUCCAAUCACCCCAACACUCGCACGCAUGUUAGACUCCUUGGUCCCGUGUUUCAAGACGGGUCGUUUAAAGCCAUUCCACCAGCAUCCUGAGCGCGUACCCCGCCGCAACGGGGGCCAAAAGGCGCGCUGCAUACCUCGGUCUGCGGGACCGUACCUACCAGAGGCUAUAACACACCCUAAGGUGCCACCUUCCUCCAGCUCGUGUCCGGCCCCCCAAACCCAUGCUGGCGUGCAAUGGGCGGGAAAUACGCCUGUCCAAAGACAAGUUGAACCCCGCCCGCGCAUACCUGACUUCAAGCGUUUCCAAUAAAGCAAUUUCACGUGUUGUUUCAUCCUCUUUCCAAAGUGCUUUUCAUCUUUCCCUCACGGUACUUGUUCGCUAUCGGUCUCUCGCCAAUAUUUAGCCUUAGAUGGAAUUUACCACCCAUUUAGAGCUGCAUUCCCAAACAACUCAACUCGUUGAAAGCGGACCACAAGGGCACACGGAAGCCCGAGCCAUCAACGGGGCUUGCACCCUCUCUGACGUUGCAACCAUACAACUUUGGCUUGGUCCGGCACGGGUCACGCUUCGUGAGACUACAAUUCGGACGCCCAAGAGCGCCAGAUUACAAAGUUGAGCUUUUCCCGCUUCGCUCGCCGCUACUAGGGGAAUCCUCGUUGGUUUCUUUUCCUCCGCUUAUUGAUAUGCUUAAGUUCAGCGGGUACAAGGGC
rnacentral:rRNA from 1 species